GUGCUUUUCAGGUGGCCUUGCAGGCCAGCCAUGAACCCCAUCUGGGUCCAGCCCCAUGUUUACCUGCCCCACACUUGACAUCACAUAUGAUGUGAGCUGUAAGACAGAGGUGUGGUGGACUUGCAUCUGGGUGGGAUAUACUAUAGAGUGGCAAGCUUUUACUGUUAAAAUAUCAGCAGCCCGUGGUGGUCACAGCUUCACCUGGCAUUGGGACUAGCAUAGGAAUGACGGUCCUCCUGUUGUGCCAUGUUUGGCAUGGCAGAGACACCAAAAUGCCCUUCCUCUGGUGCUUCCUCCUACAGAUGGGUGGAUGGGAGUUGCCUUCUUGAAUUGCACUAUGAUUUGAGUCAACAAGACCUGUGUAGAUCGUAUAAGAUAUCUUGGCCGAUGCUCCAGUAGCACUUUAGAAGCCAAGCUUUGUUUGCUGUGUACAUACUGGCUGCAAUGUGCUCUGGCAUCUGAGCAAAGCCAGCCAUUUGACCAGAUCAUUCAAGAGGAGCCGUCCAGAGUUUCCUACAGAAGAAACAAGAUCUCGCUUGGCAAGCGUCCAGGUAACUCCAUCCACUGCAAUCUGUAAAUCAAAGAUGGUGACCCUGUGGCCCUCCAGAUAUUGCUGGACUACAGCUUCCAUUAUCCCAGGCCACUGGCCAUGCUGGUUGGGGGUUGGUGGAAGUUGGAAUCCACCAUCUGGAGGGUCAUGGGUACCCUAUCCCUACAGAGAAAGCCUUAUUGUCAGGAUCUGCAACACCUUCUCUAAUUAGACCUUCAGCCCAGAAAACUAGCUAUGUGCCCAAGUGGGAAACCCGUCUUGGCUCUGAACUUCCAAAUGAAGUUUGGAACAACACUACUAAAUGGUACACUGAAUAUAAACAGAACAUUUACAAAGCACUAAUUUCCUGGUACUUGAUGCCAGGGACACCCAGUCUAAAAAGAUGCUUAGAUUCAUAAUAUGUGGAUAAGCUGUCCAUUGACCCAGAACUUCUGGAUUCAAAUCCUUACCACCCUCAGAAAUAUUACAGACAAAAUGGUAGAACAAGGACAGGGAGCAUGUGGCCCUCCAGAUAUUAUUGUUGGAUUCCAGCUCCCAUCAGCCAAUAUGGCCAAUGUUCAGUGGCAUUGGCCCUAGAAAUAUAACCGACUGGUUUUUCCUUUACCCUCACUACAGCUUUCUAAAAUCAAGAAUACUGCGAGCGAAACAGAGGAAUCACCACCAGAACCAAUCCUACAAGAAGAUGAGAACCCCUCCUUUAAAAAAAUCUGUUUCAAGAAACACAAAUAAAACAUAAUUAAAAUGAGAAGGC